rnacentral:lncRNA from 1 species
CACAACCAUGGUUACACAGAUCAGUCACUACCAGUACCACACAAACUUAUCUAAGCACAAUUUCAAUCUAGAUCAACAUUAUCAAUCAUUUAGUAUUCUUCUUAGUUCUUAUUGCUUUACAAACUUUGCCAUUAUUUUCUCUUUUUUUUUUUGAUCAACCCAUUACUUUCUCUAUAUAACUCAAUAGAUGGACAAAAGAAAAAUAAAACACCACUCUCUUUUUUUUUUUUUUUUUGGUCAAAAAAACACCACUCACUCUCUGUGAACGCUAAUAACAAGUAAAUCUUUUUUUAAUCAGAUUAUGCAGUCCAGACCAAAGUAAUAUCUUGUUCUUAAUCUGCAACUAUUUUGUUACUAGUAUUUAAGUUGUAAGAAGAUUUGAUGAAAUGGUACCCAAAAUGAGAAAAUCCCAAGAAACAUGCAAACAUAUGUUCCCUUUUUUUUUCUUAUUGAACACCAUAUGGUCCCUUUGUUAUGUAUCAGUAUUACUAAUUAAUAAAGAAAUUUAGUCCCACACCCAAAAUAAAUCUUGUAAUGUUUUUCCUUUUUUAAACACAUAAUCUUGUGAUGUUAUUACUUGCAAAUUGUACAAUACAUCAAGAAACUUUGCAAUUAUUUUUCAUCUAAAAAAAACUUUGCAAUUAUUUUUUUUAACUUGUAAAAUACUUUAAUACAUAUGAUUUUAUAUAUUAAAAUUUUGCAAAUUAGUUACGGCUUGAUAGUUGACAAAAAAAAAAGUUACGGCUUGAUAAAUAAAAAUAAAUAAAAGUAAGAGCCUUUAAAAUAAAACUCGAGAAUAGUUGGCAAAGUCAAGGACGAUCCUUCUUCUUCUUCUUCCUCGACUCGCUGCCAUCAAACCCCCAAAACUUGGAUUCGAUCUCUCAGCUCUAUAAUCUCAUCAAUUCUCUAUAUAGGGAUAAGCUAUGGGAUGUGCUGCUUCUCUUCCAGGCAAGUUUUCUCCUUUUCGUUUUCCUUUUCUUUCUCCGUUUUGUUGAAUUUAUCAUCCUCGGUGCUCGAUUACAAGUGAGAAGAACCUAUUCGCAAGACCCUCGAGUCCAAUUUCGGGAAAGGCGAAUCCUUUGGGGUUGAAUUAGAAGCUUUCGCGAAAUUAGGGAUUGCGAAUUAUCAUUUGCGUCUUUUUUUUAGGGUUUCCGUGUGAAGAAUCUGAGAAACCAAAUCGGUUGAUGUGUGUUUGUGUUUGUGUUUCAGAUAGGAACUCUGGAGCUUUAAACGGUCUUACUAGUUCAGAGAAUGCAGCUCCAGCAGAUGCUAAGAAUCUACGCGUAAAGGUGCCAUCUUUGUGCUCUCCUUGGUAUCACCUUUGUUGCUAGACUGAUUCCUUAGAGACUUAGUAAAGAUACCUAAGUGGAGUUCUACAGCUCAGAAAGUUCAUGCUUUUUUGUGAUCUUGGUCUUUUAUACUUUGAUUUGUUAGUGAUGGAGUGAGUAUUCUUUAUAGAAUGGUGGAAUGUUAGCAAUAAACCCUCAACUUUCUUCUCUCUAUAGCUAAGUAUAAGCGAGUGACUGUAUUGCAUUAUCUUCUUGGAGCUGUGUUUGAGACUCUUAUGCUACUGAAAGAAAAUGGCUUCUCAUUAGCCUGUGUAGUGUAGUUUGUCUCUCGUGUUUCCGCAAGGCAGACUUGCUAACUUUUGGAUUCACUUGAAUGCAGUUAGUUCUUUUAGGAGAUUCUGGUGUGGGUAAAAGCUGCAUUGUCCUUCAAUUUGUCCGUGGUCAAUUUGACGCAACAUCUAAGGUAAAUAAAACCUUUUUAUCUAAUCGUCACCUGAAACUUCCUUUAUGGUAUCAAAUUGUUCUUAACUGCCAUUGAAUCUCAAAAACAAUUAUUAUGUCUCAGGUAACUGUUGGAGCUUCAUUCUUGUCCCAAACAAUAACCUUGCAAGACUCUACCACAGUGAAGUUUGAAAUCUGGGAUACAGCAGGGCAAGAGAGGUGUUAAGUCCUCCAUGUAGAUUGGUGUUUCUUAGUUAAUUGCCUUGCAUGCUCGUUAAAGCUCAAUAUGUGUUCACUUGAUUAUUUUUUUGAAAGGUAUUCUGCUCUUGCUCCACUAUACUACCGUGGAGCUGGAGUUGCUGUUAUUGUGUAUGAUAUAACAAGCCCUGAAUCGUUCAAGAAAGCUCAGUAUUGGGUUAAGGUAUGUUUUCAUGUAACCCAAAGGGUUCCAUUUCUUAUAUGUUUUUGGGAUUGAUGCUUAUAGCUUGUGAACCAAAUGACUGGAGAACUGACUUGCAGAAAGUCAUAUAUGACCAUAGAAGAGUAGAACAAUUGCAAUACAAGUGUUAUAUCAUAUAUUUCCUUUGUUUUUAACCAUGCCAUUUAAAUCUAACAGGAACUGCAGAAGCAUGGAAGCCCAGACAUUGUUAUGGCUUUGGUUGGUAACAAAGCUGAUCUACAUGAAAAAAGAGAAGUACCAUCCGAGGUGAGUUUUUGCAUAAACUUCUUUAAGUAGAUAUACAUUUUGUUGUCACUUGCACGGUUCUUGCUUCUUCAGCGUAGGGGUGUCACAUUCUCAAUUUUGUAACAGGAUGGUAUGGAGCUUGCAGAGAAGAACGGCAUGUUCUUCAUUGAAACGUCAGCUAAGACGGCCGAUAACAUAAAUGAACUGUUUCAGGUGUGCAUUUCUUUAUCCCCUCAGGAUUUAUGACCAGCUGUUUUGUCAUCUGCAUUGAUUGAGCUCUUGUGAUUUGUUUUAUUUUCAUUGCUUUGGACUUUGGAGAAUGAGUAUAAGUUGAUAGGGAGUGAGAUCUUUGUUCUUUUUAUUUGUCUAAGCUACUUCUAAAAAUUCAGAGAAAACUGAGUAGGAGAAGAAUAAUAGUUUCAGGUGUAGAAAGAAUGAUUGAUUGUGAAUCAGGUUUUGAUGUUUUGUACAUGUUUGUGUGAAUAGGAAAUUGGAAAGAGGCUACCUCGUCCUUCUCAACCAUCAUCAUGAUUGGAGUGUUUGGAUCAUCCCAUCUUCAGUGAAAAGCUUAAACCUUUCUCCUGGUUACUAAUCUUUUACUUACUUUCAUGUAAUGUUAUUAAACGGUAUUUUAUUAUAUAUGUUUUAAGUGUGUUGUGUAAUACGAAGAUUCGAGGUUGAGAAGCCUUAAUUAAAUUAAGCAAUGAUGGGGGAUUAUCACAUGUACAUUUAUAUCUACUAUAAGAAAGAGAACGUAGCAGCUACUCUACAGAAACGAAUCUAUUGAAAAGGAAAAUUUGACCAUUUCAAACAAGACUAGCAUAUUAAAUCCUCUACUCAGACACGCCUCACAUGACCUGAUUCUACAUACUCGGAGUUUGUCAUGUCAUGUGUAUUCAUUUAUAACUAUGUUAGCUAGUGACAACUAGUUUUGACUUCUGAUUGUUUGUGCAUCCACAACUCACACACGUAUAUUUCGAAAUCCAAAAUUGAAUCUUGAAUCUGACGUGACACUAGUAUUUUAAAAAUUGGUUUAGUCAUCGGAACAAAACAAUUUUUUUUCAAACUGAUGUUUUAAAAACCGGUCUAGACGUAAAAAAAAAUUCAAUCUAAAACCCCCACUAAAUACUCACCUAAAUAUUAAUCUUUUAUAAAAACCGAAUUUUAGAAGACAGACAAACAAGUUAGAUGAUGCUUAAAUAAAUAGAAGAUAGUAACUAAAAAGAAAAAAAUCUGAUUGGUUCAAAAAGGGACAACUUGUGGCUUUUUUCAGACAGAGAAGACUUUAGGUGUUUGUUUAUUUUAUUGUCACGUUGGUAAGGAAGGAUUAAGCGAUAACUGUUGUUUUUUAUUAAGGGGUCUUAAUGGCUCCAUCGCAUUCUUCCUCCCUUUAACCAUCUUCUUCUUCUUCCUCCUUUGGAGCUAUCUCCAGGAUGGGAUCAACGAAUGGUUCCGAUGAGGAGCUCAUGAGUCGUCUCGUUGACUCCGUCAAGCAAAUUUCAAAGUUCUCCAAUUCCAAAGGCUUCUUCGGGAGGAUCCAAGGCGAUCUCGUCCGUAGGAUCACCCUUCUCAGCCCUUUCUUCGAGGAAUUAAUCGACAUCAACGCUGAGUUGAACGAAGAACAACAACUCACAGGUUUUGAGGUUAUGAGGAUCGCUCUCGAUUCAAGCUUAGAGCUUUUUCGAUCUGUCAAUGGAGGCAGCAAACUUCUUCAGGUUUUUUUCUUUUACUAUUUCUUCCUUAAAGAUUCUCUCGUUGGUCGCUUGCAAAGUUAGCAGCUUUCCUCUGUUUUCUUAGGGUUUAAGAUACUUAACCAAUAUCAAGAACAAGAAAAGGUUGACUCUUUUCAUGUUUUGUUUGUCCUCUCUGUGCUGGCAGAUCGUCCAUAGGGGUUCUAUUAUGCAGAAGUUCCACGACGUGACAGUGGAGAUAGAAGCAGCCUUAACUCAGAUCCCUUAUGAUCACUUCGAAGUCUCCGAGGAGGUCAUAGAACAGGUUCUUCUCAGCGCAUUUGUUUUUUUUUUUCUCUCGUUUGGCUUUGGCCACAAUGGUUUGCAAAUUCUAAUGAUAUUAUCUCUUUUGAAUUUGUAGGUCAAGCUUCUGCAUUCUCAAUUCAAGAGAGCAACAGAAAGACAAGAGGACUAUGAUCUGCAGCUAAGCCAUGAUCUAGCCGUGGCAGAGAGCGUGGUAGAUCCUGACCCUGAAACCCUCAAAAGACUGUCGCAAGAGCUCCAACUCAGCACUAUUGAUGAGCUCAAGAAAGAAUCUCACGCCAUUCACGAGUACUUUCUUUCGUAUGAAGGGGAUCCAGAUGACUGCUUUCAGAGGAUGUCCUCUCUUCUUAAAAAGCUGGUAGACUGUGCAUCAACUGAAAGUUCGGAACCGGAUGCAUCUACUGGCAGCAAAGUCAUUUCGAGACAUCGGUCUCCUGUUAUACCAGAGUACUUUCGGUGUCCGAUAUCACUUGAACUGAUGAAAGAUCCUGUCAUCGUCUCCACUGGACAGGUCUGCUUUUGCAUUGUAGUGAGUUUGGUUCAUUACAUUUGUGUAGUGCUGGGCAUUUUGGGUUAUUCGGGCAGGGGACAGGGGUGUUUAGGACCUGUUUAGGAACCGGACAAUUUUUAGAUCGGUUUGGGUUGGGUUUCUAUUUUUAUAAAACCCAAAGUGGAACCGAAAUAAUUUGUGUUUGGUUUGGGUUUAAAGUCCGAAAAUCAAAAAAACUUCAAAAACCCUGAAAAAUAUUCAAAUAAUUCGGGUUUUGGAUAUUUUUAUUUCUAAAUUGUAUUAUAUAUAUAUUAAAAAUAAUUAAUAUUUUAUUAUAUUUUGAAUAUUCGAGUACCUCUUUGGUUUUCUGUUCCAGUCGGUUUCGGUAUUUCGGGUUUAGAAAAAAUAGGAAUCCUUUGGGUUUCGGUUUUAGUUUUCUCGGUUCAGUUGGUUUUUGGGUUACUGUAAUUUGCCCAGGACUACAUUUUUGUAUGCAUUUGUUGUUUUAGCUGGUUUUUUCUCGACCUUGCAGACAUAUGAGAGAUCAUCCAUACAGAAGUGGCUAGAUGCUGGUCAUAAAACCUGUCCGAAAUCUCAGGAGACACUCUUGCAUUCCGGAUUAACACCUAACUACGUGCUAAAAAGUCUCAUUGCUCUGUGGUGUGAGAGCAACGGUAUCGAGCUUCCGCAAAACCAAGGGAGCAGCUACAGAACCACAAGACCAGGAGGAGGUAGCAGCUCUUCGGAUUGUGACCGAGCAUUUGUCCUCGCCUUGUUAGAGAAGCUGGCCAACGGAUCUACAGAACAGCAAAGAGCUGCAGCUGGAGAGCUUCGGUUACUAGCCAAGAGGAACGCGGACAACAGAGUCUGCAUCGCUGAGGCUGGAGCCAUACCGCUCCUCGUUGAGCUUCUAUCCUCACCGGAUCCUCGGACUCAAGAACACUCCGUGACGGCUCUUCUGAAUCUUUCUAUAAACGAAGGCAACAAAGGAGCCAUUGUUGACGCAGGAGCUAUCACAGAUAUAGUGGAAGUGCUUAAAAACGGAAGCAUGGAGGCUAGAGAGAACGCAGCCGCGACGCUUUUCAGUUUAUCUGUUGUAGAUGAGAACAAAGUGGCGAUAGGUGCUGCUGGAGCUAUCCAAGCUCUUAUAAGCUUGCUUGAGGAAGGAACAAGAAGAGGGAAAAAAGACGCGGCAACUGCUAUAUUCAAUCUGUGCAUAUACCAAGGGAAUAAAUCAAGAGCCAUUAAGGGAGGUAUCGUUGAUCCUCUGACAAGGUUACUGAAAGAUGCAGGUGGAGGAAUGGUGGAUGAAGCUUUGGCUAUCUUGGCGAUACUUUCAACGAACCAAGAAGGGAAAGCAGCUAUAGGUGAAGCAGAUACUAUUCCUGUUUUGGUUGAGAUUAUAAGGACAGGGUCACCGAGGAACAGGGAGAACGCUGCAGCUAUACUUUGGUAUCUAUGUAUUGGGAAUAUGGAGAGGUUGAAUGUAGCGAGAGAGGUUGGUGCAGAUGUUGCGUUGAAGGAGCUUACUGAGAAUGGGACUGAUAGAGCUAAGAGGAAAGCUGCGAGCUUGUUGGAGAUCAUUCAGCAACUCGAAGGUGUUGUGAUAUCUACUGUUCCAUGAAAGGCUUGCUCUUUGUGGAAAUCUUAUUUGUUUCAGUAUAGAUUAUAUAUGUAUAGGAAGCUUUUGGAUUGACUCUGACUAAAGAAGCUUAUGUAAUGUCUACUCAGUUUUGUGUAUACAAUAAAACCUCUUUAAUUAGUAUUUGUUAGUAGUGUAAGAUAAUAUUCUCUCUGCUCGUUAUUGCAUUCUGGUCAUCUGUUGUUAAGUUGAAAUGAAAAUAUGCAUCAACAAAUAUAUUACUGAUUUGUAUAUAAAAGAUCAUACUGUCUCUCACCACAAAAGAAAAACAUAUACGAGAACAUUUGAAUACCAUUCACUCUGCAACCAAAACGAUCCAGAAGAAGAGUCACAAAGACAUAAAAAGACAAUAAAUAAACACACAAUAGCACUCGAGAGAAAAGAUAACGCUCUCUUACGGAUCAGCCUUGUUUAUCCAUGAAUGUUUCUAUUAGUGUUGCGCCAUUGAUGAUCUUUGUUGUAGCAAUAAUCAAAUCAUAAGCCAUUCCUUCCUGAAAAAGAAGCAAUUGAAGAAGGAAGGCUUCAGCAAAAGAGUGUCUUUUAAUCAUAAACUCUUGGAAGUUUGCAUAUUACCUUGGAGGCGAGAAACCGUAGGGCAGAGAUUUCAGCAAAUGUUACACCUCCAAUGAAGACAACAAGAACAACUGAGCGUCUUCCAUCAGCAACCCUGUAAUGAUGUUGUAACAUAAAUGUUUUAUCCUUCUGUAGAAACUACUUUUGUGGUAUCGAACUAAUUGAUAAUGAUAAUAAACUUUACCCAUUUGAAGCUCCAUGCAAUGAAUCAACUGAUGGACUACUUGGGAAUCCACUCUGCAUAGAGAUGGUACAUAAUGUGAUCACAAAAUAGUCGAAAACAGAAAAUACAAUAGCAUAACAAAACAAUUCUUUUUUUUUUCUCCAGUUGGGUAAACGUGUACUGACUCUUUUAGUUUCCAGAUGUGGUCCUGGCAACAGCUUCAAAAUGUCUUCUAUUGGACGCCUGUAAGGUAGAUUGAGGACUCAUUAAUAUUAAACACAUCACUCUGUCAACAUUCAUAUAUGAAUUAAUAAAUGUUCUUUCAAGUUCUGAUAUUUGCUGAGUUCUUCUGUGCAUGUCACUUAAUGCUUCUCAACUCGAAACUGAACAGAAUUCUAGACUUUUUCUCUUCAUGGUUAUAUUAAUAUAUAGAAAAGCCCAAGUGUUAUUUUAUACACAGGCUAGCUAGUCAACAUUUUGGUCUAGAAGAGUGCAAGAACAUACUAACCAUCCGGAAUGUAUAGCUUGUUGGACAAGACGAAUGCUAAGAGGAGCAUAUCCAGAAUAGACAUAAGCGAUAUCAACCGGCCUGCAACAAGAACAGUGUUUCAAACAACUCAAAUAAGCACUAAUUUUAUUUCUUACGAUUAGAAAAAGUUUGGUACAAGGCCUAGCAUAUCAGGUGAAUGAAGGUAACAUAUGACAUGAUAUCACAAAUGCAACAUAUGGAAAGUGAUGACGUAAAACCAUAAAUGCACAGAAUACAACACAAUAGACAAACAAGGAGGAAACAGAUUGCAAGUCAAGAAAAAGGGAGAGUCCUCAUAGAUAAACAAAAUUUGCAAGUCAAGAGCGAGCUUUCGAGCCGGGCUUUAGAAGAUACCAGAGAUAUCUUCGAAAACAAAAAUAUUCAGCCAGAGCUGUAACUAAAUCAUGCAUUAGCGAUAAUGAAGGUAUUGUCAAAUAUUGUAGUUGGAAAAUCAGCUUUCAGGUUUUAUACGUUCAUUCAAGAUUACGUUUGCAUAUUUUCUGAACUAGACAUCUGGACCCGCUUCAUAAGCGUAACCCCAUAAACAAAAAUCAUGCCAUCAUGUAUUCAGUUGGUGACAACAUGACUAAAAAGAAUAUUUACCUUGACGUAUCUGUGUCUUCAACUAUAAGUUUCAUUGUACGUUUCACUGUCUGCCAGUUGCUUUUAAACUCCUGUAGAAACCAAACGAAUGUACAACAACCCCUUAGAAUAUCAGACACACUUAACCCCAAUAAACAAGAAGAUUGUUCAUCCCACAAAGUAGCCAAGAAUAACCAAACCUGUUUCUUCAACAAUCCUGCUUUUUCCAAGUUGUUCAAUACGUUCACAUGCUCAAACCCAUAACUGUGGAGUAGUUCCGUUCUGGAAGUUGAGACACGAAGACAAGAUAUCAUUCAAAAAGCAGAAAAAUUAAAUAUAAAAUACCGAUGAUUGCUGGAAGCUAGCUUGCCUUAUAUAAUCAAAUUGCUUUUUCGGUAACCCUGAGUUUGUAAUAGAAAAUAGGACCAAUAGUCGCAGGACUUUAGUGAGAGGCUCCUGUUUAUGGAUCAAUUCUUCUAUGUACUCAAAGCAUCUGUAUUAACAAACUAGAGUUAGUAAUAAUAAAUCAUAUAACAGACUUUUCCAUUAUGCCAUCAACGUAAGAUGUUUUCCACAUCACUUGUAAUAGAAAGAAUCAUCAAGAUACUUUUGAAUGGAAGUAUUAAAUUCAAUUUCCUUAAGAAGAAACUUACAUGUCAUAACUUUCUGCCUCAACUAGUGUUUGUUCCAUGUCAAGCUGCGAAAGAAAUGACUGCUUGGACGUGAAUGUUGUCAGGUGCUGAGCAAGAUGUAUGUGCCUCUGGGAAAGAAAAAAAUCAUACAAAAUCAAGUUAGGAUGAAACUUAUCGUUUUCUGAACCAUCUGCGAGAUAAAACAAAAGGAACUUUAAGAAAACAAGGCAAUACUUACUGUCAUCUCUGGUAAUGAGUUAAGCUUCUUGACAAAGUCCUUUAGCUCAGAAACUGUCUGGGUCUGUGUAUUAUAUUAUCAUACACCAUUAAAAUCUCGGUCCAACUAAUAAUCUAAGUUUAAAAUGUAUGGAUAGGCUGAUAGUUCCUAAGGAAUACAUGGUCUAUAUUAAUUUGGUAACUAUUUAUGUGCCAAAGAAUACUCCUGAAUCCUGAUCGAGUCUAAGAGAUCUGACCACAAAUAUGUAUGUACCAUAACCUCUACCGCGAAAACAAGACUACCUAAAGGGAGAGAGCGACAAAACAAACGUACAGAAUUAAUUUCAGUAUAGUCCUCCUUCAUGGUUGUUGCCUUCUGCCGUAGAACCUGCAAUCAUACCGCGUCUGUAGUUGAGUAAAAAGAAUCCCAUUUAACGCAAAAAAUGAAAGCUAAAAGGACAAACGUCAACCUGCACAACGACUUCAAAGUUGAGAUCCCUCGUCUCCUUGAACAAUUUAUCACUGUAAAUUUAAACAUUCAAGCAAUAAAUUUAUGAAAGACAUAGAUAGGCACAGUAGCUUGGAAAGUCCAAUCUAGCUACCAGUUUAGGGAGCGAUUUUGUGUGCAUAAUCAAUUAAUACACAUUAAUAUCAACACAACAGUGUGCUUAUCCAAUCCAAGAAAAUCACAAUUUCUAUUCCAUGCAUCAAAAAUACUCACAAAAAUCAUAUAGCAAUGCAGUAGAAAUGGUCUCCUACGGUUGAAGAAAUUUGUAUAUACGAUGCAAGAAACUAACCUUGAAUUAAGGGGAACCUUCAUCUUUUUCCCCUCCUGCUGAGAACCCAUCACAGACGAGUCGACCUCGACAGCUCCAUUACUGAUAUGCAAAAACUUUAAAUAGGGGUUGGAGUCAGCUCACAGAAAACCCAAUCGACCAGCUUGAUUAAAAUCCAAAUUGUAUGGUUGUUUGUUAUCAACCAAUGAAAUUAAGUAGGAUAAUGACAAUCGUUUGUGGCAUUACCUCGUUUAACAAUCCUUCAUAAGUUAACUGGGUACACAUUGGUGUAACCAUAUCAACCUGAAACAGAAAGUAUUAAAGUCAAUCAGAAUGUACUUUUGAAAGAUAUCUUUGUGUUGAAGGAUGUCAUAUAAUUGGGAAACGCAUGAUAAUCAUACCUCUCUAUCCAACAGAAUGAGUGUAUCUACUUCAGGCCUUCCCACCUGGAAUAGAACUUGCGUCAUUUAGAAUAGUGACCAAAGGAAACAAAAUCAUCUGAAAAAUAUAAGAUAUCGAAGUCAUUGAAUAUUAAAGCACUCAAAAUGCUGCAGGCAAAUUUUUACAUCAUUGGUAUUGACAGGUUCCUCCACUUGCAUGCGGUUAAGUAUAUCUGCAACACGAACUGAUCCUUUGCCCUUUGCCCUCACUUUCGGUAUAACUCCAAAAGAAAACUAUGAUAGGUGUCAGCCAUGAGAAAGCACAAUGUGGAUCAUAACGUAAAGAAUAAGGAAAGAUUCAAACCUCGAGCUCAUGUAUUGCUUUUGCAACAUGCCAAAGUGAGCUAACAUCACCAUCGACAAGGCAAUCCUAUCAUUUUGAAAAACAAGAAAUAUGUGAGCUUAAGGCCUCAAGGGAAAUGGUACAUGAAGUAAUAAGUACAAAUUGGACAUAUGCGAGUUGUACACACUUUUUCACAGAGCUCAAGCUCAAAAGAUAUCACAUCCUCAUCCAGUGGAACCAUAUACAGAGGAAACUCCUUCACGGUAACCAGGUUAUGAACUUUUUCCUGCUCAAGAAUCUGAAAUAGCAGGAUAAGAUAUUUAUCACCCUUUAUUCAAGAGGUAGUAAGAACAAUGAAAAUGAAUCACAAAGAGUCGAAGAAGAUGGCAAUAACCACACACCUUCUCACACGCGACAGACCUACGAGGAACAAAGUAAACGUAGUAGUCUCUCUGAAUCGCUUUGGAAAUAUCAUUCUGAAUGUGCGAAGCUAUGUGUUUCAUAAAACUGAGUUGAGAUCGAACAAGAUAGACCACUUUCGUGCAUUCAGUCUGAACUGGUUCUUCAGAAAGAUGUCGUAAUUCCAAACCAAGUUCCUGUUAAGCAGAAGACCACUAGUGUUGAAACAAUACUCUCAACCAUUAUAAGAAGAAAAUAAAUAAUCUCAUUUCUUCCUUUCCUAAACAGACUAACAGAGUAAUCAAUCUAAAGUCAUUUAAACCUGGCAUUACCUUAAGUGUGGAAGUCUGGAUGAUCAAUGAAACGGAACCGCUUAGCUUUGGAUCAAUAACCAGACACUUAGUUCCACGAAUCUACAAAAAGGCACCAAAGAGAGAAGACAAAACAUUAGUUGUGUUCCGAAAGCUCUUUUUCUACCCAAAAUGUGAAAUUGGUAACUGAUAACAACAACAAUGCGAAUCAUAUCGAAAGAGAGAGAGUAACGAGACUUACGUCUUUAAGCAAGUUUACGAGCUCCCUCUGAGACUUCUCCCUGAAUUAGAAUUGAGCAAAACAUAUGAGAGGAGAACGAGAAAACGAUCAAUUUAAGUAUUGAAAAUGGACUCUCACCUAAUGGAUUUGAGAUUGAGAGGAGCAUUCUCCAAGUUAGGGAUCUGCGCCAUGGAAGACGAUCAGAGAUGAUCGGACCUGUUCGACGUUUCUCUGUUUUUUUUUCCUUCACCGUGCGACCGCAAAGGACGAGCACGGUGGAGAAGAUAGUUAGAAACACUAAAUGGGCCUCAUAAGUCUGUAUAUGGGCUUUUACAUCUAAGCUUAGAAGCUGGGCUUGGUCUUGUUCUGUGAGUGGUGUUAAUUUGCUCAUAUGUUUUUGUCAAACGUUAUUAAUUUGCCCAAAUGUUUUCAUCAACGAUGUUGAUAAUGUUCAAGAUUAAUGUACAUGAGAAUGUUUUAUAUGAAACAAAUUUCAAAUAUAUUUCAAACUGACUAAGCAGAGUCAGUUUAUUUUUUGCAUUGGAAAAUCUGGUACUACUUGGAAAAUUUUAGAGGAACAAAUUGACAACAAGAAGACGUACGAUAGAUAUACGUCACUGGUACAAAGGGUCUCUCAUGUGUCAAAAUAUGUGAGUUUACAGAUGUUGAGGUAGACAAGGCCACGUCCAUCAUGAAGAUGUUGAGGGGGAAUCAUCAUGAAGAAUGCUAUGAGAGUGUACGUCCAUAAGAAUCUGGGAUCCACUCUAUAUUGUUUGGUAUUCAUAUGAAGUUAUGGACCAUUGAUGUGUUGGACCCGCUGCUACUUAUAAUGAAUUCAUGAGUUUAUAAAUAAAAUAAGCAACCCUACAUUUUUGUUCGUUUACUAUUAGGCAACCCUAGACGUAUUGCUUCCACACUACAAAAAAACAGGCGAGAAAAACGAAUUCCCAACGAAUUUGUUUGCGAAAUACUCCCUCCGUUCUUAAAAAAUCCAUGUUUUAGAAAAAAAAAUUGUUUCAAAAAGAUACAUUUUUUAUAUUUUCAAUACAUAAAUUAAAUGUAAAUUGUAAACUUCAAAAAACAUAAUUGUAUUUAUUAAAAUUCUAUUGGUGAAAACUUGUGGGAUAUAGUUGAUUACGGAAAAUAAUGUAUUGGUUACUAAAAUUUGAUAUAUUUUCUUAAUAAAUAUGAAAAUCUUAAAAUAUGGAUCUUUUAAAAACAAAGAGAGUAUAACGUAGGUCGGAUUUCAUGAAAUUAAACCGUCUAAUGCAAUGGUUGAGGAAAAAUAGAUUGAGAUAUAUAUAUUCGAGAAAAUAGGAAUGAAACUUUAUUCUUUGAAGAUAUAGACAUAGGCAAUAGUUUCGAAGAUAUAUAACACUAUACUAUACGAUAGUUCUCGUGGGGAAAUAAGUAGUUGUUCCACAAAUUUGUUGUCGAAUUUUCCGAUAGACAUGCGUUUCUUUAUUGUUUUUUUUUCUUUCAAAUUUGUAGAGAGUAUUAGUAAUAUAAAAAUAUUCAAUUUCAAAGAUUUUGACGAAUUCACCACGGAGUGAUAACGAGCAGCCAGUACCUGUCCGAUUAAUCAAUUAUCUAGGGCGAGUUUUUGAACAUUGUACUCAUCUUAUACCAUUAGAUAAAUUCAUUAACUUGUAGUUUUGUACUGUUUAUAAUGUUUUAGUUAAUUUAUAUUUUCAUUUGCAUAUAAAUUAUAAAUUAUAUUUUUAUAUGCUUUUUUUUUUCUAUUAACUGUUCAUCGAUUUCACAAAAUUAAUGCUGAGUCUCCUAGGCAAGUGUAUAAAAAAAAUUAAAAUAAAACAAAGACACAAAAGGGCCCCUUCCUCAACGUCACCCACUAAACCACGAACGCGGGAACCCAUAAUUUCAUUUUAUUCAUUUUCACAGCCGUCGUCGGUCGUGCCUCCCUCUUCCCCUCUUCAUUCAUCUCUUUCCACUUCUCCACGAACUUUUCAAAUCCACUCUCCUUUCAAUCAAUCUUCUCCCCCCCCCUCCUUUCGUGCAUCGCGACGAGCUUUACUACUAUGACUUCUUCCUCGAACUCAUCCUCCGCCGUCAGAUCGUCGGCGAAACACGCGGCUGACCGGAUUCAGCAGCACCUGCCUCCCAGCAACCCCGCGUCCCUCUCUUCGUCUUCCUUGAACUUACCCUCUAAGACCUCUAUCGCCGCUUCGAUUAACCACCACUCUCCUCGCCCUAAAGAUCGACCUUCCUCCACCGCCUCCUCCGUCUCCGCCGCUUCUCCUUCUACUCGCCGCUCCGGCACCCCCGUCCACCGAUCUCAGUCUAAAGACUUCGACGACGACAACGGUAUCUCCCCCUUCCUCUCUCUCUCUCUCUACUUCGUGUAUUAUCCGUACGAUUCUCCAUUUGCGUUAACGGAUUUGAUGACUCUUCACUCUAGGGCGAUUGUAUACUCGAUUUGGGGAUUAGGAUUGUUAGUGAUGAUCGUUGAUUUUGAUUUUGAGUUUAAGUUGAUUGGUCAUAUGGUGAAUUGGAACUUCGAUAUUGAGUUUGAAUUUCAAAUUGUUAUAUUCUCUACAGAUCCAGGGAGGGUGAGAGUUUCUGUAAGAGUUCGACCUCGUAACGGAGAGGAGCUUAAAUCAGAUGCUGACUUUGCUGAUCUUGUUGAGUUACAACCUGAGGUCAGUCACUAUGCCUUUCUCCCUCUCUUAAGUUAUAGUUAGAUCCUUAGAAAGUGCUCUUUUGUUUUGUUUUCUCUACAGAUAAAGCGGCUUAAGUUGAGGAAAAACAAUUGGAACUCUGAGUCCUAUAGAUUUGACGAAGUCUUUACAGACACAGCUUCUCAGAAACGCGUUUAUGAAGGAGUAGCAAAACCUGUAGUCGAGGUUAGAAAAUCAUUCUAUUCUUGAUGUAGAAUCUUUGAGGAUGAGAUUUUAUUUUCGAUAUUCAUUACUGCAUUCGUUCUGUAGGGUGUUCUGAGUGGAUACAAUGGCACAAUCAUGGCUUAUGGUCAAACUGGCACGGGUAAGACUUACACCGUGGGAAAAAUUGGUAAAGAUGAUGCAGCUGAGCGUGGUAUCAUGGUUCGAGCUCUUGAGGAUAUACUUGCCAGCGCGUCCUCUGCUUCUUCUGUUUCAGUGGAGAUCUCUUAUUUGCAGGUGUGACACUAUAGAUCUUCUGCGUUGAUCUCUUUUUCAUUUAUAGCAUGACUUCAAUGCUUAGACCAUACAUGCCUAACAUCUAUGUUGCUCUUCUUGUAAUUCACAGCUUUAUAUGGAGACUAUACAAGAUCUUCUUGCACCUGAGAAAAGCAACAUUUCAAUCAAUGAGGAUGGGAAGACUGGGGAAGUAUCAGUACCAGGUGCAACAGUAGUUAACAUUCAAGAUCUAGACCAUUUCUUUCAAGUUUUGCAAGUCGGUGAGACAAACCGCCAUGCGGCGAAUACAAAGAUGAAUACAGAAUCCUCACGUAGCCAUGCCAUUCUUACGGUGUGUAACACCUUAGAAUAUUUGGUCUUUUAUGGUUCUUGGUCAUUAAAAGUAGUCCAUGUUUUGGAUUAAUGAAAUGUAUCUUCUAUGCAGGUUUACGUUAGGCGGGCUAUGAAUGAAAAGGCUGAAACAGGAACUAAAUCGCCAAAACCUGAAUCUUUGGGAGAUAAAGGCAUUCCAAGAGUUAGAAAGAGUAAACUUCUAAUUGUGGAUCUUGCUGGCUCAGAAAGAAUAAAUAAAUCUGGUUUGAACUCAUUCCCUGUUCAUAUAACCACCAUUCAUUUCAUAUCAAGUAGGUUAUGACUGAGUUAUAUCCUGUUUUUUAUUAAGGCACUGAUGGCCACUUGAUUGAAGAGGCGAAAUUCAUUAAUCUUUCACUGACAUCUCUGGGAAAGUGCAUAAAUGCAUUAGCUGAAGGCAGUUCUCAUAUACCGACUAGAGAUUCUAAGCUAACAAGGCUUCUUCGUGAUUCUUUCGGGGGUUAGUUUACCAGAACUUUCUUGAGCCAUUUAUAAAAACACAAAGCGUGGCUCACUUCUGUGUGCCUUCUACAUUUUUCAUGUUUUUCCAGUUAAGCUUGUGCCUAUUACAUAAAUUUUGAAAUUGUUCUUUUUUCGGCACUGAUCAAAUAGGUUCUGCAAGGACUUCACUUAUAAUAACUAUUGGGCCGUCUGCACGGUAUCAUGCAGAGACAACUAGCACAAUAAUGUUCGGACAAAGGGUCAGUUUCAUGUUUCUGUUGAUCCAUGAUUCUAUCUAUAUCUGCAGAAUCGUAAACUGAGAAAGACACAGUUUUCUGAUAUUUUAAAGACACAGUUUUCGAGUAAUGCCUUGUUGGUUUUGUCUCACUUUUACAGGCAAUGAAAAUAGUAAACAUGGUAAAGCUUAAAGAAGAAUUCGAUUAUGAAAGUUUGUGUCGGAAGCUUGAGACUCAGGUGGACCAUCUUACUGCAGAAGUUGAAAGACAAACCAAACUAAGAAAUAGUGAGAAGCUCGAGUUGGAGAAAAGAUUGAGAGAAUGUGAAAACACUUUCGCUGAAGCAGAAAAGAACGCGGCAAGGUCCAAGGUAUUUGUCUCUUGUAAUGAUUGGCUACUAUUUUCUUUAUAUUGAACUAUUGUCUAGUUUCUUGAUAUGAUGCCUAUUUUACUAUUAUCCGGUGCUUAUAUUUUGAGGGGUGAAUCUGAAUUACAGUUCCUGGAGAAGGAAAAUGCCCGCUUGGAGCUUCGUAUGAAAGAACUAUUGAAGGAUUUGGAAAUGCAGAAAGAUCAGUGUGAUCUAAUGCGUGACAAAGCCACACAAUUGGAGAUGAACUUGAAAAAUACAAAGGUACACUUUCUAUCAUAUGUUCGUAGUUCUCUCAGCAACUACUUAGAAUAUAUUAUUAGUUGACUACUCUCUUUCUUUUGAUCUUUAUUUAACUACUCACAGAAGCUCUUGGUUGUUUUCUCACUAUUAAGAUAAAUUUUAAGCAGUGUCUUCUUUUGUAGUUGUGUAUGUAUAAUUUAACAGGCUCUGACAUUGUCAUUUUACUUGUUAGUAGCAGCAACAACUGGAAAGUUCGGCAUAUAAGGAAAAACUUGCAGAUGCCAGUAAAGUAUACGAGACAAAAAUUGCUGUUUUGGUUCAGCGGGUUGAGGAUGAACAAGCCCGGUCAACAAAUGCCGAGCAUCAAUUGAACGAAAUGAAAAAUAUUUUGAGUAAUCAGCAGAAGUCUAUUCAUGUUAGUUAAAACUCCUUUAAAAAAAAUUUGAAUGCAUUAGUCUUGUGUUCAAACUAAUGUUUUUUUUGGGUGUUCUAGGACCAAGAGAUGGGCAACUAUCAAUAUCAAAGGGAACUUGCGGAAGCCACUUACACGUAUGAAUCUAAAAUCGCGGAGCUCCAGAAGAAAUUGGAAGAUGAACAUGCUCGGUCUAACUCUGCAGAGGAGCAACUUAGACAGAUGAAAAGUAUUAUAAGCGAUCGCCAAGUUUUAUCACAGGUUAUUGGCGUAUUCUUGAUUUUUUGAAACUGGAUUUUAAUAAGAACGAUACUUUCAGCUUUAUGUUUCUGUCUUUUUUAUCUUUUCAGCAAUGAUAAAUUCUACUCUUGCAGAACUUUCUGUCUCCAACUUUGUUUUUUUUUUUUUCUGGUUUUGGUUUCAGGAAAAUGAAAAGACAAACGAACUCAAGAAAAAACUAGAAGAACUUUCACAGAUGUAUGAGUCGACAGUAGAUGAACUCCAGACAGUGAAAUUAGACUAUGAUGAUCUGCUCCACCAAAAGGUGUGACCCCUAAACAUCUGCUUACAGAAAGAAUAUCAAACAAUUAAGAGUUGGUCAUAUUAAUUUAAAACAUCCAACUGUUGAUUUUCGCUGAUGAAUACACAUUAAAAUUUGUUUGACAUAGGAAAAACUUGGUGAAGAGGUCCGGGAUAUGAAGGAAAGGCUUCUUUUGGAAGAAAAGCAGAGAAAACAAAUGGAGAGUGAGCUUUCCAAACUAAAAAAGAAUCUAAGGGAAAGUGAAACUGUUGUUGAGGUGAAUUUAGAAUGAGCUUGUUUCACCUUUUUCAACAUGUACUUGUACUUCAUGGUCUUGCUAAGUCCAUUUCUAUUUCACAGGACAAGCGUGUGAAGGAAGAUCUUCCAAAAGGACCAUCAGAAUCUGGAGCUCUACCAGGCUCACAGAGAUCUCAUGGGUUAAAAAAGUCUCUAUCUGGACAGAGAGCUACCAUGGCAAGACUUUGUGAAGAAGGCAUGAUUCUUUCUCGUUAGUUUAGCUCGAUUUUAUUCUGGGAUAAUCCAAUUGACAUCUUCGUUUCUACUUCGGUUUCAGUGGGAGUCCAGAAGAUAUUACACCUGAUUAAGUCCGAAGACUUGGAAGUUCAAAUCCAAGCCGUUAAGGUGGUGGCUAAUCUGGCCGCUGAAGGUGUGUGAUUUCAUCGCUCUAUAUAUUAGCAUGUGUCAGUAGCCUCAAAUUUAUAUUCCUCUCUACUGUUACAAUACUGACUUUAUCUUUGUAUAUCAUGUGUCCUUGUACCUAAACGACUUGCAUUCUCUGUGUGUAUGUGUUUAGAAUCUAAUCAGGUCAAGAUUGUGGAGGAAGGCGGUGUGGAAGCUUUGCUUACGCUUGUUCAGUCAUCUCAAAAUUCAACAAUUCUUAGAGUGGCUUCUGGUGCAAUAGCUAAUUUGGCAAUGAACGGUAAGAACUUCUAUUGGUAGUUCAAGUAAUUUUUAUGUUAUUGUUGUCCACAAACCCGUUUAAACUUACUACUAAAAAGCAGUGCCAAUUUAGACUUUAAAAGUGGUCUCAUGUGGUUGUGUCAUUUAUUUACAAUGCUGGUUUGCUUGAAUGUUGAAUCUGCAAGUUGAAUUAGAUGGUUCGUGAUGCCAUGCUUCAAUAAUAUGGUUUCUUUUAUUAAUUGCAGAGAAGAGUCAAGAUUUAAUAAUGAAUAAAGGAGGUGCUCAACUGCUAGCAAAGAUGGUGACCAAAACAGAUGAUCCACAAACUCUAAGAAUGGUAGCUGGUGCACUUGCCAAUUUAUGUGGAAACGGUGAGCACAAGAUUUUCAAACGCAUCUACUCGUCUGCACUGUAUAGCAUAUGCAAAAUCCAAUAUAUUUGGUGAAGCUUUUUGCUGGGAUGAUAAGUAUGUAUUUAACUCGUACAUGUUGCUGUCUAUUGCACAAACAGAGAAGUUUCUUAAGCUCCUGAAAGAAGAGGAAGGUAUCAAGGGACUACUCACAAUGGCGCAGUCCGGAAACAUAGACAUCAUAGCUCAAGUGGCAAGAGGGAUGGCAAAUUUUGCAAAAUGUGAAACUCGCGAAAUCAUGCAAGGUUUGUUGUAAUACAGAGAUACCUCAUAAAAAAAUGCAGAUCCAAGUCAAUUUUGCUAAUAUACGUUGAGUGAUCAUAUGCAUCGCAGGGCGUAGAAAAGGUCGUUCUCUUCUUCUGGAAGAAGGUGCUCUUGAAUGGCUGACUUCAAACUCACAUAUUGAAUCCGCAUCAACACAACGUCACAUCGAGCUUGCGCUUUGCCAUUUAGCUCAAAAUGGUAAGCCUAUAUUGUGUUGAGUAAAACUGAUUUCACAUGUCUCUCACUCUCUAGAGCAGGCCCAGCUUAUAUGCAUACCUCCUCUUAUUUGAUACAGAGGCAAACGCGAUUGAUUUCAAAAGAACGGGAAGCGUGACAGAGAUCGUGAGAAUAUCAGUGGAGUCGAGUAGAGAUGACAUUCGCAGCUUAGCAAAGAAGAUACUCAGAUCAAACCCUCACUUCUCAAACUGAACAUGAAGUAACAGCAAGAGAUGUACAUAAACAUAACUGGCGAGCUGAGUCUGAAACUAAGAUUAUGUCCUGUGAUCAUUUAUAUGAUGUUGUAUCCUGUCUCCGUUGAACGUGGACUCCGUUGCUAAUUUUCCUGAACAGUUUCUUGAUCAUUUUUUGCUACAAAUCUGUAGUGAAUACUCCUUAUGGUUUGAAAUUUGAUAUGGCCAAGCUCUCCUAUGUAUGAUUGAUGUUGGGAAACAUGGAGUAGAUGGAUCAAACUCAUGUCUCCUCGCUGAUGUUGUGUUUUGCAUUAAAGUAACAAGACUUAUUUGGAAUCAGUUUUGUUCUCAUUUAACAAUCAUACAAGUGUUACAAAUGGAGUAUGUGAGUGGUCACAAAAGAUAGUUUUAAGAGUAGAUGUUUUCGUAACUCCUAAUGAUUUUAAUUGAAUCUCUUUUUCUUUGUUCUUUUGUCGAUGUGAUGGCAUUGUUAGAUUCUUCUUCUAAUCGUAAAGGCCUUCGUCAUACCAUAUAUCGACCAGAAAGUCCACCAUCUCCUACACAAACAUCAGAUUGGACAAAUUCAGUUAUUUGAGAAUGAUUUUUUAGCUUCUUUGAAUAAAUGAGAGAUUAGAUCAAAAGCUUACGGGUAAAGGAAUCGACUCAGAGAAAGGUUCAUGAGUUGAGAGAAGAUCUUCAUAUGUAGUGGACCAACUACAAGAGAUUCAAGAUUAUGUUAAAGAGUAUACAUCACUAGAAUAUUAAUAAAACACAACAAGAGAAACAUAGAUCUCAUUGUUAAAAUAACCUUAUAAUCUGAUCCUUUGUAGUCUUUUUUCUUUGUCGAGAUUGAUCUCCCACCCAUUUUUCUCUGUUCUCUUGCCACACCUUUACACCUGCAACCAAUAAGAUGCUUAAGAACAAAUAGUCUCAAAUUACAGAACCAACAAAUUAUAAUCUCUUAUGGUUGCUCUUAUAAUAUCUUUGUUAAGCUAGUUGUGAAAAAUGUACCAUGAUUUACAGGUGUAAUGGUGUUUUCAGUGUUCUUUUUAACCGAGCUUUUAUCUUCUAUGACCAGUUUUGAAAGCUCAAGAGGUUUGUUUUCCGUGGACAGACAAUUUGCAGUAAAAAGCUCCAUUGUUGUGAUUCAAUCGAAUGAUCAUUCCUUUGCGAAAUAAAUUUGAUUAUACGAACAUUCAACAAAGAAUAUCAAAGGUUCCCACACAAGCUGCUAGAAACACAAACAUUAUAUUAAAACCAUAUUCAUCAUGAAACUAUUACAGGAAAGAGGUUGGGUUUAGUUUUACCUCAUUGACAUUUUCAUCAAUCAGCUUGUGGGAAAACCUAAAAGAAAAGAUUAAAUAAACAAGAAUACCAGAUUCCUCAGAAAAAUAUCAAUUCAUUAUCAAAGGAUGAAAAUUCAAUACAAAACCAAAAAAAAAAAAAAAAAGAUUGAUUGUUUCACAUUGCCGUUCAUAUUCAUUACCAAAUCUUCAUCUAUAAAGCAACACAAAGAGUAUAUCUUUAAAUGUACACCUACUUCUGUUUCCUUAAGAAAGAUCAUUUUGGAACAUAAUGUAUUCAAGAUCCAAUCAGAAGCAUUCAAGAUCCAAUUAUUAUCUUAUGGAUAAGCUAAAGUUCUUUAGAGAAACAGAACAUUUACAGGAAACAAGAACAGAGGAAAGAGGAUUUACCUACCUAAAUGAGGACGUACCCAGCAGAAAAUUUGGUGGGAGGAUUGAAACUUGUUUUCUUUUAGGUUUAUAUGUAAAUGAAAUGUUAGAUCUUGAUGAGCCAAUUAAAAUGAACUAAAAAUAAAGUUAAAAAGGAAUAAUAGCCAAAAAUAGGAGAGAAUAAAAAGGAAUUAAAGUGUUUACUUUGUUGGUAGAUGAGUAGUAAUAAUAAUAAAAUGAUCUAUAUCCACCACCACUAUCCAGAUCUGUUUUGGGUCAAUGAGACAGAAAAAUUGAAGUAAGGCCCACGCAUCUGAUAAAACAACACAGCUUUCUCUUUCAAUCAUACGUGGAUGUGAUUAGGAAAAAGAUAAUAUAUCAUCAUUUACUAUAUGGUAAGAGAAUUAUAAUGAAAUUUUGUCACAUGUUUUAAUCAUAUUAUUAUUAUAUUUACAAUUCUACAUACACUACUUUGAUUUUUCCUCAGAUUUUAUCUCGAGAUGACUGACCAUAUCAAAUCUAUACUAUACUAAAAGAGGAUAUAAGCCCCUCUUAGAGUGUCCACGUAGGCACAAAAAAUCGUCCAAUCAGAGAGUCCAAAAUUGCCAUGUCAUCUCAUUUAUUUUUUCGUAAAAAAUGAAAAAACAAUGCAAAGGAGAAGAUCGAACCCGGGUUAGUAUGACAUAAAUAUAGGGCAUAUACCACUAAGCUAUUGAAACUUUCUUGGACACAUAUACAAGAAUUACUAAAUAUGUAAUCACAAACUCUUAUGUACAUUUACAAUAAUAUGGAUUCAACUUUCAAAACUCCGAUACUUUGUUUUGUAAAAUAAAAAAAAGUAAGUGACUAAGCUAAUAUAUUCUUUGAAAGUGUGAGAACAUUGACAAAUAUGAAAAAACAUAGAUUUUUGUUUUCGUGACAAAGUUAAGAAUUUUGUAAAAGUAAGUUUAACAUAUAAAUUUCCGUGACAAAUAUGAAAAAGCAUAGAUUUUGUACAAUUUUAACAAAAGAACUCAAAACAUAGUUCUCUAAUGACUUAAUAAAAUAUUAUUUAAGGGUGCAAUAAUUAAAUAUAUCAAUUCACUAAAUUUUGUAAUUUAUAGACAAAACAAUAACACAACAAAUUUUGAAACAUUUGUUUAACCUAUCGAUUUAUUUUCAUGAGAAUCCAACUAAACAAGAUAAAAAAACAAUUAGAUUUAUUUAAUUACAAUUUUAUUCAAUUUUGAAUAAUUUCAAAUUGUACUAAUGUAUCUUUUUGAAGUUACAAAAAAUAAUGUUCUUUCUUUAUUACACUAGCAUUAUAUAUAGAUUCCAUAUACACAAAUAAAUAUAAUAUAACAACAUAAGCUUGCUUUCCCCGAUUCAUAUGAAAACUUUUUAAGUUAUCCACCAAACCAAAUUAAUUAAAUCAAUAAAAUUGUUAGAAUACAAAAAGUUAAUAUAUAAUUUUAUUUUAAAUUAAAUUAAUAAAAAGUGUAUUUUCAUUAAAAACAAAAUAAUAAAUAAGUAAAACUGAUUUGAUGGUAAUUUUUAUGACAUAUAUAUAUAUAUUAUGUGAAAGAAAUAUAAGCUUAAUAUGGAAAAAAAUCUUAAAUACAAAAAACUCUAAAAUUAACAAAAAAAAUUAAUAAAAAUUAAACUAUGAUAUCAAUUGAAAGCUUCUUAGACAAUAUUAAUAAAAUAUUUAAGCGCUAAUUAGAUAAAUUUGAUUUUUUUGCUAGCCAAAAGUUUAUUAUAAUUAGCAUCAGUUAUUUCAAGAUAUUUAAGAAAUGAUAGACUUAAAUGAUAUAUCAUUUGCACAUCAUUUCCAGUUUUUUUAUGCAUAGAUUCAAUUUAUUCAGAGCAGUUAUUCCACAAAGAGAUCGUAUGAGAUAUUAUUUUGAUAUUCAGAUUUGUUUCUUGACUGUUAAGAAGAUUGAUAACUGUAAAAAUAUCACCUUCGAAUAUUAUAUGUCUAUAACCGAAUCCCCAACAUGAGACAACUUAGUUUAAAAAGUAAAUAAUUUCAUUUUUCUUAUAUUAUAUAAUAAAUAUAUAUUAUUUACUGUUAACAAAAAUAUAGUUAUUCAUCUAUCACAAAUAUCUAUGGAAAUAUGUGAAUUAAGUACAACAAUCAAACAACAUAAUAAUUUCCACAAAAAAAAUUGAAAAAAUAUAUUUAUGUUAGGUAGUCUUAUUUUAUAUUCUUUAAAUAAUGUAAUACAAUAUUAUACAUUAUUUUUUUAGAAUUGAGAAAUACAUAUAUAUUAGUUAGAUAAAUUAAGCGAUAAUUAGACAAAUUUGAUUUUUUUUCGAGCCAAAAGUUUAUUAUUAAUUAGCAUCAGUUAUUUCAAGAUGUUUAAGAAAGGAUAGACAAAAAAAUAGGAUGGACAUAAAUGAUAUAUGAACUAUGAAUAGUAUUUUGUAAAGCUGACUUAGAUAACACAUCUGCACAUCUAUUUCCAGUCCUUUUUGAUGUCUAAAUUCAAUUUCUUCAGAGCAGUUAUUCCACAAAAAGAUCGUAUGAGAUAUUGUUGUGAUAUUCAGAUUUGUUUUUUGACUGUUAAGAAGAUUGAUAACUGUAAAAUAUCUCAUUCGAAUAUGAUAUGUCUAUAACUGAGUCUACAACAUGAGACAAGUUUGUUUUAAAAGUAAAUAAUUUUAUUUUUCUUAUAUUAUAUAAUAAAUAGAUAUUAUUUACUGAUAAUAAAAAUAUUGUUAUUCAUCUAUCACAAAUAACUAUGCAAAUAUGUGAAUCAAGUACAACAAUCAAACAACAUAAUGAUUUCCACAAAGAAAUUUUUAAAAAUAUAUUUAUGUUAUGUAGUCUUAUUUUAUAUUCUUUAAAUAAUGUAAUACAAUAUUAUACAUUAUUUUUUAAAAUUUAGAAAUACAUCUAAUAUCUUAUCCGCGCGUAGCGCGGUUAAAAAAUCUAGUUAUCAAUAAUCAAGAUAGAUAACAUGUUUGCGUGUUUGGUUUACCAUUCUUGAUUUUGCUUUUUUCUUCUUCUUAUCAUAAUUGCGUUAACCUAGAUUAAGUGUUUUAAGAGUAAUAUUUAUGUCUUAUGAUGAUGAUAAUGAUAUUGAAAUUGUAGUCAUUUGCAUUAUCGGUAAUCUUACACCACAUUGGCGCUGACAAACACAAAAGAAACAGACUUUUUCUCUCUCAAUUUGGUUACAUAUUCUAUUCCAUACUGUAAAAGUUUUAAAACCCUGUUAGUGUUAAGAUUUCAAUCAAUAUCAACCACUUACUGGUAUGAUUCUCUCGUUCGUUUAUUUCCUUGUUGCUUAGCUUUGUAUUUUUCGGUUUAGGAAACUAGAUCGUAUUGCUUUGGUAUAUAACAGUGUAAAGACCUAAAUAUGAAUUGAUAUGAUAAAUCCUUAUCUGAUUCUUCUAUAGAACCAAAAGAAACAAAUCCUUAUCCGAUUCUUCUUCUAAAAGAUAUGCAAGAAGAUCAAAAUACCAUUAAAAUAAAAAACAGAUCUUUUAAUCGGAAGAAGAGGUUUGUGGCAGAAACAAACCAGAAUCAUGGACGUUAUGGAAAAUAAACAUUCUCAAAGGAACUAGAGGUUGUGGAGACGCAUUUUCAAAAGUAGAAAAAAUACACGAAAUAAGUGUGGGCCUUAGUUUGAAAGGAAGAAUGUGAGAUAUCAGACAAAUCAUACAUUGACAUUUAGACAAAUGAAAGUCUAGUAUAUAAAAAAUAUUCAACUCUAAUUAGUACGAAACCUUUUGGAAAGAAAAUCAAAAAUAAAACCACGCGAGUUUGCUUAAAGCCCAAAAUGAACGAUAUCGUACUAACCAGACAAUACAUAGUUGGACAUGGAUUCAAUAAAUCCCAACUAAAAUAAUAUUAACAACUUAAACUCAAUUAUUAAUCAGGUAAAUUACUUGUGUCUUGUGUGAGUUGGUUAAUAAUAUAUAUCUAAGUUGGUAAAACAAAUAAAAGUGUAUCAUCAUCUCAUUUAUUAAAGAAGUUAGAAAUCUUAAUUAAAAGUUAUGAACUAUCAACAAGACAACAAGUCAAUUUUUUUCUUCUGUAAUGGAAGUAUAAAAUAUGUGAAUAUUUACCAAAACUCAAAGCCUCAAAGUCUGACAAUCUAAAUGAUGUAAAUUUUGUUAAGUCACAUAUCGGUUCGUAAACCGAUUCAAAAGGUUUAAUCACAUAGAAUUCAAGCUCACACGAAGCAAUAGAUCACCAAGACAAAACAAAGGUUUCAGACAAUCUGUCUUUCAUUACAGAGAGUUUUGAUACACAUAAAGCUCAUAGGACACAUUACUAUCUUUUCUUUACAAAGUCACUAGUUCAAAGGGAUAACAAUAUCGCCAAUGUUUUUGUGCCAUGGAUCCG